AAUCAAGUGCCUUAAGGGUGUUCGGUGGAUGCCUUGGGGCUGAGAGGCGAUGAAGGACGU
rnacentral:rRNA from 1 species